rnacentral:rRNA from 1 species
GACGAACGCUGGCGGCGUGCCUAAUACAUGCAAGUCGAGCGGACAGAAGGGAGCUUGCUCCCGGAAGUUAGCGGCGGACGGGUGAGUAACACGUGGGCAACCUACCCUGUAGAUCGGGAUAACAUCGAGAAAUCGGUGCUAAUACCGGAUAAUCAUUUGAAGUGCAUGCUUCGAAUGUAAAAGAUGGCUCCGGCUAUCACUACGGGAUGGGCCCGCGGCGCAUUAGCUAGUUGGUAAGGUAAUGGCUUACCAAGGCAACGAUGCGUAGCCGACCUGAGAGGGUGAUCGGCCACACUGGGACUGAGAAACGGCCCAGACUCCUACGGGAGGUAGCAGUAGGGAAUCUUCCGCAAUGGACGAAAGUCUGACGGAGCAACGCCGCGUGAGUGAUGAAGGUUUUCGGAUCGUAAAGCUCUGUUGUUAGGGAAGAACAAGUGCCGUUUGAAUAAGGCGGCACCUUGACGGUACCUAACCAGAAAGCCACGGCUAACUACGUGCCAGCAGCCGCCGUAAUAC